GACGAACGCUGGCGGCGUGCUUAACACAUGCAAGUCGAACGGCAAGGCCCUGCUUUUGUGGGGUGCUCGAGUGGCGAACGGGUGCGUAACACGUGAGUAACCUGCCCUUGACUUUGGGAUAACUUCAGGAAACUGGGGCUAAUACCGGAUAGGAGCUCCUGCUGCAUGGUGGGGGUUGGAAAGUUUCGGCGGUUGGGGAUGGACUCGCGGCUUAUCAGCUUGUUGGUGGGGUAGUGGCUUACCAAGGCUUUGACGGGUAGCCGGCCUGAGAGGGUGACCGGCCACAUUGGGACUGAGAUACGGCCCAGACUCCUACGGGAGGCAGCAGUGGGGAAUAUUGCACAAUGGGCGGAAGCCUGAUGCAGCAACGCCGCGUGCGGGAUGACGGCCUUCGGGUUGUAAACCGCUUUCGCCUGUGACGAAGCGUGAGUGACGGUAAUGGGUAAAGAAGCACCGGCUAACUACGUG
rnacentral:rRNA from 1 species